rnacentral:piRNA from 1 species
UGUGUGUUAAAAAUUACAGUGAAGGGGACA